UACGAAGGGGGCUAGCGUUGCUCGGAAUCACUGGGCGUAAAGGGUGCGUAGGCGGGUUUUUAAGUCAGAGGUGAAAUCCUGGAGCUCAACUCCAGAACUGCCUUUGAUACUGAAAGUCUUGAGUAUGGGGAGAGGUGAGUGGAACUGCGAGUGUAGAGGUGAAAUUCGUAGAUAUUCGCAAGAACACCAGUGGCGAAGGCGGCUCACUGGCCCAUUACUGACGCUGAGGCACGAAAGCGUGGGGAGCAACAGG
rnacentral:rRNA from 1 species